rnacentral:misc_RNA from 1 species
AAUUAGUGCCUCCCGACGGCGAUCACGGCGGAGAAUGCGGCGGCGAAGAGCAACUGUUGUUGAUGGAGACGAACAAUGUCGACCGGUCAUGGAGGUUGAACUUCGAUGAACUACGGUUAUCGUCUGAGAAUAAAGAGAAACCUCUUCCUCAUGGAUUACAUGAUUGUCUCGGUGUAUUGUGUCAAGAAGACAACAUUGCCGUGUACUACCAGCAACAGGUGGAAAUGCUCGAGGGCUUCAAUGAAAUGGAUGCCUUGGCUGAUCGUGGUUUUGUACCUGGGAUGUCAAAGGAAGAGAGGGAAAAAUUGGCCAGAAGUGAAACAACUGCCAUUAGGAUAUCAAAUAUUGCAAACAUGGUUCUCUUUGCCGCUAAAGUAUAUGCAUCUGUCAAGAGUGGUUCAUUGGCCAUCAUAGCAUCCACGUUGGAUUCACUGCUUGAUCUUCUCUCUGGUUUCAUUUUAUGGUUUACAGCUUUCUCUAUGCAGACACCAAACCCGUAUCAAUAUCCUAUCGGGAAGAAACGUAUGCAGCCUUUGGGAAUCCUUGUAUUUGCUUCUGUCAUGGCGACUUUGGGACUGCAGAUAAUUCUGGAGUCUAUGCGUACACUAAUAUCCGAUGAGUCUAAUUUCAGCCUUACCAAGGAGCAAGAGAGAUGGGUUAUUGGGAUUAUGGUUUUUGUGACUUUAGUGAAACUAGUUUUGGUGUUGUAUUGCCGGUCUUUCACCAAUGAGAUUGUUAAAGCAUAUGCCCAGGAUCAUUUCUUCGAUGUUAUCACAAACGUUAUUGGACUAGUCGCGGCAUUGCUUGCUAACUACUUCAGUGGCUGGAUAGACCCUGUUGGAGCUAUGAUUCUCGCGUUGUAUACCAUUCGAACAUGGUCAAUGACCGUGUUAGAGAACGUGAACUCUCUUGUCGGUAAGGCAGCUGCACCAGAAUAUCUGCAGAAGCUGACUUACCUCUGCUGGAACCAUCACAAAGCCAUAAAGCAUAUAGAUACAGUGAGAGCCUAUACAUUUGGUUCUCAUUACUUUGUCGAAGUUGAUAUCGUCCUACCUGCAGACAUGCCCUUACAAGAGGCACAUGAUAUCGGUGAGUCAUUGCAGGAGAAGCUCGAAUUAUUGCCAGAGAUCGAACGUGCCUUUGUUCAUCUCGACUAUGAAUACAGCCAUAAACCUGAACAUGCACAAGCAUACCUAUAAUCAAAUGGAUAUUGGUAACAUCUUCUCUACCUAAUAUUAUAUACCACAAGUUAACUUUGUAAUGCUGUCAAUCUGGUAAUUGCUCUUAAAAGAAAAGUU